UGCCAGCCGCCGCGGUAACACGGGGGGCGCAAGCGUUAUUCGGAAUUAUUGGGCGUAAAGGGCGCGCAGGCGGUCUUGUCAGUCAGGUGUGAAAGCCCUGGGCUUAACCUGGGAAUGGCAUUCGAUACUGGUGGGCUAGAGUCUGAUAGAGGGUAGCGGAAUUCCGGGUGUAGCGGUGAAAUGCGUAGAGAUCCGGAGGAACAUCUGUGGCGAAGGCGGCUACCUGGAUUAAGACUGACGCUGAGGUGCGAAAGCGUGGGGAGCAAACAGGAUUAGAUA
rnacentral:rRNA from 1 species